CUAGGGCUUUAAGUUAAAAAAAAACUGUAAACCUUCAAAGUUUAAAUUAGUGUAAAUUGCCUUAGC
rnacentral:tRNA from 1 species